GCACACGUCGAGAGAACCAGAAAUAUCCUUUUAAAAAAGAAAAAUCAAUUUCUUUAGAUUUGACCUAGCUAUAGGCUAUUAUACGUGCGCUAACGAGCCUACAUUAUCCAAAUGAGUUGGUUAAUACUUCAACAUUUUCUUCACAGUUGUAAUUAUAUCUAUUUAAUCGUGUCAAGCUGUUUAGAACUUUAGAUUUUGUUGAGAUAGUCGAGAGACCCGAAUUGGUGAUAUGUUAUCGCCCUUUGAAAAUGUUCGUUCUUUUGAAAGUAGAACUUUUUGGGAAGUUCACUAUGUAACGAGUCACCUUCGACUCGAAUCCUCACGAAACUUUUCCUCCAUCGUUUUAUAUCAAUAUAACAUUCAAAAGAGUUUGGUUUUAUCAGUUCGCCGAGCGAUAAAUGGGGUCGCACAGUGAAGCACCGGUGGGCGGUGGCGUCUUUUAUUCCAUUAAACAUGUAGGACGAGUGGCUUGAAAUAAUUAAUCCACUGUUAUAACUAAUAAAAUAAGAGUCCUCAACUGAAGAAACGAAAACAAUUUGAUGCUUGAUUUACUCCCUUCUCCGUUAGACAUGAUGGAGAUGGGAACAUCAAAUUCACCUUUGCAACAAGUUAAAAAACCUGAUUCCAUUUAAAUAAUUGAUUCGAAAGAACAGAGAAGCUGGAAUGGACGGCUGUCUCUGGAAGUGAAGCUAUAUAUACAUCGCCGUUGCCAUUGACAACCGAUCCAGACCUCUCCCAUUCGUCCGGAUGGUAUAUAGUUUAAUAAGCAUCCUGGCUUUUAGUAGGCCUUUAGAUGUUAUUACGGAUUUGGCUUAUACAUAUAAUCUGACAGUCAACAGGAAAACAUUUAUUCCAUCACAGCACAGGGGUCGUAUGCCUUUUUACUUCAAGGUAAUAACGCGGGAAAAAAAGAUAUUCAAAUCUAAUUGGCUAAUCAAUUAUAUUGAUCCUGUUCUUUCGAGAAUCGCAUUAAUUCAACAUGACAAAGUUUGAACAAUAUAAUCAUUUAAUCAAGGUUGCCAAGUGCCGACGGGGAAAAUCGCAUUUUGAUGGGGGGAGUGUGUGAAUGACGUCAUAGUAGUCCUAUAUACCGAGUUGGCGCACGGCUAUAAUUGUCAUGCGCAAUAGGAUUCUCAUCACUAACGCGGCGGAAUAUAUUAAAUCCAGACAGAGCUAUCCGCUCUUCCCAGUCGGUUAUAAAUACACGUUCCGCACAAUGGGCGGACGUGGUGAGGCUGGUGUCACUACUAACGUUACCCUCCCGUGGUGGAACAACACACUCGAAUUUCAAAUCAUGGAUCAACAUUUCACACGAGCUCAGGAGAUUUUUCGGUCGUCGGUCGUCGCCGUCGGACUAUUUCUGAACGCUCUCGUGUUCGCCGUAGUGGGUUUGUCGCGACAGUUGCGCUAUUACCCUCGCCACAUUUUCUGGGCCGCCAUUUCCUUCUUCGAAUGCCUUUUCUUGGUCGAGUACGCCCUGGAAUUGGCCGUCGUGAUCGAUCAAGACGGCCAGGCCUGUCGGAUAUUACUUUUAAUUUACCCGGUCGACUACUCCCUACUGUUGUCGUGUCUCCUGCUGGCCGCCAUCGACCGAUACGUGUCGAUUGUGCGCUACGAAUGGUACAAGGCCAACGUCACCAAUCGCGGGGUCGUCUUGUUGAUCGCCAUCGUGUCCGUCGUAUCGUUUUCCAUCAUCACCAGUCCGUUUUGGACCGGCCAUCAAUCGAUUGACAACUGCACCGUUAAUUUGACUCACGUGAAUCGGGUUUUCGUGUGGGAUUUGUUGCUGGGCCUCGCUUGCGUCGCUCUCCACUUGAACAUUUUCAUUCGGACGAGAGCUCUCGUCCGGCAGUAUGUGCCCAGCUCUCGUCAGACGCCCAUAACGGUCAGAUUUUUACGGUCGUCCGUCGGCCCUCCCAACGCCAGUUCUGAGCUAGGAGUGAGUCAGAACAAUUUGCCCACGUCAACGGGAAGAGUGUUUAUCACGAUUCCCGAAAAUCUGACGACCAACAAACGGGACAGUUUGCAUAAUCAACGGAAUUCUUCGCUACCCCAGCAGCCGGCCAGGAAUGAAGGAUUUCCCAGGUCGACGAAACGCUCAAAAAUCCAUCGACUGGAAAUUCAGGCGGCCUUGAUCAUGUCGGCCAACAUUUUGCCGUUUUCGCUGUGCACUUUUCCCGUUUCGUGUUACGCCAUCGCUCUGUACUGGUGCCUCCGGCUGGACGGUGACUGCGACACCAUUCUGCUCACGUGGACUUACAUGUGGGACUUGUUUAUGCUGCACAGCAUCUACAAUCCCGUCAUGUUUAUGAGCACCAGUCCCGAAUUCUGGAAGGCCCUCGUCCGCAUCACGAGGAAAUGGACCGAAUUGUUUCACGUUGGCUUUCACGACGAGAAUUAGGCAAUUCAAUUGUUGUUGAGCGUUUCGCAAUGUUUGAUUGUGUUCCUGGUAUUCGUGGCCGGCAACAUUUCUUGUAUACUGAUUGUUGCGUGCACAUAAUCGUUCAAUUCGCUCGUCCAUUUCAGCUCGUCCGCAUCGCACGUUUUGUAUUCAAAUAAUGAAGUGGCCCAAAGGGGUUUUGUGGGGGCUGAUGCUUGCUGCGCAUUGGGUCGAGGUCUUUCAAUUUUGAAUAUAAUACUCUCCUACCUGUUGCGCCAUUCCUCAUCAUAAAUGUAUAUAGACUACAAGCUUCCCUAAAAUGAUAACAACAUUUAUUAAUAUAAGUUUUCUAUCGACGUCAAUUCCUUUUUUACUUAGCGCGUUUUAAUGCGUUUUCUACUGGCAAUAAAAAUGGCUAGACAGCUAGUUAAUUCUAGUCAAUCAAUAGGUUUUGGGACAGCACGGCACGUGUCUAUCGUUAACCUUUCGCCGUAACAUAUGAUUCUAAAAAUAACUCUAAUAAAGGCUGAAUAGCAAACUGACCUAUUGCCGCCAAAACGUUCCGCGCAUGCGAAACGGAAUAUACCUGUUAAUGUCCGAAACAGUUUGAAAAGAUAUUAGACCGGUAGAUUGAUGACUUAGUCGUUGAUAACACAUCAAGAUGGACGAAUCAGUGGUUAAUACUACUAACGUACUUCCACUAUCCUGGUGGGAGACGUUCGACUACCCCGUCAUGGAGCAGCGCAUCUCCCUGGCCCAAUAUUUUUACCGGACGUCGGUCAUUUUCGUCGGAUGGUUGGCCAAUUACUUUAUCGUGUUGGUGACGACUUUUUCGCCGUAUUUGCGCCAUCCCCGCCACAUUUUUUGGGCCGCCAUUUCGCUAAUAGAAUUCUUGUUUUUACUCAACACCGCCCUCGAGCUCAUCACCGUCCAAAAUCGGGAUUACUCCGUCUGCCCAUUUUGGGUCAUUUUCUAUCUCGCCGAUGACUCGGCCCUGAUGCUCUGCCAUUUGCUGGCAACCGUCGACCGCUACUUGUCCAUCGCCUGCUACGAAUGGUACAAGGCGAACGUCACCAAUCGGGCCGUCAUCCUGUUGAUCACGCUGGCUCUGGCCUUGUCGUUCGUCGUCAUCACGAGUCCGUUCUGGACGGGCUACAAGUCGAUUUACACCUGCACCGUCAAUUUGACUCACGUGCUUUCGGUCAAUGUCUGGAAUUUGUUGCUGGGCAUCGUUUGCCUCCUUCUACAAUUCAAGAUCUUUGACAAAACCAAGACGCUCGUUCGUAAUUACGUGCCGAAAUACCGUCGCUCCCUGUCCGCCAGCGUCAAAUUCGUUCAGUCCAUUCCGCCGGCUGAUAGUGGAAAUUCCGGUAAGUCUGGAAUCGAUUUGGUUUUAUCUUUUGUUUGGAAAUUCUAUUUGAAUGAACAAUUCGUCGUAUGUAUAGGAGGUGAGAGAACCGAGUCGAGAGUUUCCAUCACGUUCCACGAACCACCUGAUCCUGGAACUGAGAACGGAGAUGAUCGAAUGGAUCAGCUGCCGUCGGUCACGGAUCUGGAAGACGCCGAAUGUUUUUCGCGGAAGCCAAAGGGAUCGCGAAUCGGCCGGAUGGAAGUUCAAGCCGCCCACAAUUUGUUCGUCAACAUUUUGACGUUUUGGUUGUGCACCCUGCCGAUGAGCUGUUGCGUUUUGGUGACCUACUGGUGCGUCUGGGUGAAAGGCGAUUGCGAUGUCAUUUUCCAAACGUGGAUCUACGUGUGGAACGCGUACAUUCUCCACAGCAUUUACAAUCCCGUCAUGCACAUGUUCACCUGCUCCGAAUUUCACCAAUCGCUUUUCGAAAUGAAAGAACAUUUCAUCAGCAAAUGCUGUGCCACCGAAUAGAUAUAAGGAAAUUUUAUUUGAAAUCAAAAUGACUUGAAUGUAUUAACUUCCAGGUUCUUUUCACGCAUUUGAUAACUGAAUGCACGUUAUUUAUACCGAUCUUUAUCCUCUCAUUUUUGCAUUGAUCCUUUCCCAUACAGAGUGAAUCAGCGGACCUAUUUUUAUAGCCUAUUAGUAUAGCAAGGCUGUAUAUAUUCAUGUGGCCUGGGCAUAGAAAUAGGAAAGCAGUAUUCAUUCCAGGUUUCUUUUAUAGAAAGAUAAAUCUGUCGUUUGAUUGAAAGAAAAUUUAAUCAGCUUAUAUAGCUACUUGACUAUACUCACCUAAUGUACCUGAAAAGCAGUUCCUAUGUAUCAUCCUAUGAUACAGCCGCCUUGUAAUCCCUAGACCAGACUUUAUUGUAGCUAUGUACAUCACCGGGCGCGCUCCUUAUCGUCGUUUUUCUUAGACUGAACAACAGGUGUGUUUUGUAGAGCAAUUCGGUUUUUCUUGGUUAUAUUUGCUAUGAUACUUGUAUACAUGGAGGUAUCUGUUCCGAACUAGGUACAAGUUGGGCACAUCCUUCCACGCUAGACUGCAAUUUCACCAAUGAUGUGCUCGCUAUACCCCAACAUUUUACCUGCGUUCGUGGACCAGUGUUCCUGAAGUUGUGAAAUAUCAACUUACUCUUUUCCACUGUAUCAAAGUUUCCCGCUGCUACGAUAUAGGCAGUUGUCAGGUAAUUUGACUUGACAACGUUGGCUUUGCCUCCCGAUCAAUAUGUAAUGUAUAGCAUCUCAGAUUGAAAUAACCUUUCAUUUAUGAAUAAUUUCUACUCAUUAGCACUAGUAAAAAUGGUGCCUUAAAUUGAAUUUGGUCUAAAAUCAAUUAGCGGUUCCGUUGCGCUGCAAUAGGUAAAUCAAAAGUUCAAAAAUAAUCAAUUAAAAUGGGAGCCUUACAAUUUUGUGAACAUUUAAAUUUGACGAAAUAAUGAUUCAGGAAUAUGAAGAAGUUUUUCUUACAAUUUUUCUUUGUGGGUUAGUUGAUGACGCAACAUUUUCCUAGAAAAAUCGUUUGAAUUUUGAAGGUUAUGUAGUCCUAUCGGCCGCACAGUGUUGCCAUGGCUCUUUUUCUCUAUUUUAAUUAGUUUCUCUUUCCCUUAUAUUUUUGACUACCCUCUCCCUGGUUUCCUGUUGUUGACAAUUUAGGGAAUCGGUAUAGGAAAACAGUUGGGAUAUAUCCUACGUUCAGUCGACGACCAUCCCAGUAUGGGAGAAGAGCUCUUAUAGGAUCACCGAUAACCGAGAAUAACGUGUCUAGUCUCUGUUCACUGUGAAAAAUUGACAAAUAGUUCGUGGAAGGCUCAGUGGCUGAAUGCGUGGCUCCGUAGUAAUGUAACAUCGUUGCGCAUGCGAGGAGCCAAUUCUGUUGAAGCAAUAAAGAACACAAUAUCAACGAGUCUGGAUUCUUUGGUGCGAGACUGCAUUCUGUCGUGUUCCCAACGCCAGAAUGGACGGAAAUAAAUCAGCGCUCGCCAAUAACAUAACGUUGGGUAAAUAUGAUUAUCUAGUCAUGGAACAGGACAUCUCUGCAGUCCAACUUUUAUUUCGAACGUCGGUUAUUGGUGUUGGGAUCCUGUUGAAUUGUGUCGUCCUCUCUGUGGUGACCUUUUCACGUCAGCUUCACUAUCCCCGCCACAUUUUUUGGGCUGCCAUUUCCAUCUUCGAGUGCCUUUUCCUAGUCGAUAUGGCACUCGAGUUGGUGACAGUGCUCAGACGCGAUUACUUGGCCUGUCAGUUUGUAAUCCUUUUUUAUCCGGUCGACUAUUCGAUCCUGUUGAUCUGCAUGUCGCUGGCCGCAUUGGAUCGCUACUUGUCCAUCGUUCGCUUCGAGUGGUAUCAGGCGAACGUCACCAAUCGAGGUGUUAUUCUGUUGAUUGCGAUUGCGGUUGGGAUAACAUACGUCAUUUUUACGAGUCCAUUUUGGACGGGCUACCGCUCAAUUUUCACCUGCACCACCACUAUAAUCCACAGCGUUUGGGCCUUCACGUGGAAUUUGUUCUUGGGCAUCGUUUGCGUCGUUCUUCACUUCAAGAUCUUCAUUGAAACUAAAACUCUCAUUCGUCAAUAUGUUCCCAAAUAUUGUCGUAAGCCUGUCACGGUCAAGUUUGAGAAUAAAUCCUUCAUCCGACAGCCUAGUAACAUCAGCUCUGGUCCUAGUUUGAAAAACAUCGAAACGACUGAACAAGUUCUAUCCACCGUUUCCCAAAAUCCUUCCGGUGUUGGAGGAGAAAAUACAUCGAUCCUUUUUCAAGAUCCUGAAUUCAUGAUGCAGACGCACGUCAGCCAUCAACAAGAUAGCACGGAAGAAUGUCAUCACGAUUCUCAUCUGCCACCUGCAUCUCAGGCCAUCAACAAUCUAGGCGACACUGAAUCUUUUCCCUGGAUGCCAAUCCGCUCGAAAAUCAGCCGACUCGAAGUUCAAGCCGCUCUCAACUUGUCCGUCAACAUUCUGCCGUUUUGGCUGUGUACCCUUCCUGUGUCUUGUAAUACCAUUGUCUUUUACUGGUGCAUCCGGCUGGAAGCCAACUGUGACAACUUUAUGGUAACAUUGAUUUAUUUUUGGGACAUCUUUAUGCUUCAUAGUGUUUAUAAUCCAAUCAUGUACAUGGCCACUUGUUCGGAAUUCCGGCGGGCCUUUCUUCGCAUCGUAAAGAAGUUGUCAAACAAAUUUGAUUUUGCUUUACGCAAGUAAUUAUAAUUUAUCCUCCUCUCGUUGCUGCUAUUAACUAGCCUACCUGUUGUUGUUGAAUUGAAUAGUCCGCUCGAUCGACCGAUAGUCGUCUCGAUAAGUCAACUGCCGAAGUCUGUUUGUCGUAUGCCGUAAUAUUACGUUACGUAAGAUAUCAAAUUUCUGUUCCCUAUUUCUUUAUCCUUUCAAACGGGAAUGGAAAGUGAUUAAUCUCUGGGUUUACAAAAAAUUCAGAUUUUUGCCAAAUCUUUUCAUACUUCCCAAAUCGAUUUCUGCAAAGUCGAAUGUUCUUAUGACAUAGGAGCUUAUAACCUACUUGCUUUUAUUAUUUUCAACUGUUUGAAAAAAACUGACCUUUCUGAAUUCAAUAUCAAAUGAGGAUUGGGCGAACGAAGUGCUUAGGAAAAGGUGGUUGCCAUGUGAGCCACAAUAGGAAAACAAGAAGCUCGACCAUUGUUUUUCGCAAAAUUUUUGGAUUUCAUCUUGAAUGUUGUAAAAUGGGGGGAUGCAACUUAAAUAAUCCUUUUUAUUUUUUCCAUUGCGGCAACCUGUUGCUAUGGUAACCUUCAUAUUUAUAUUCAAAUGCGUCAAAUUAUGCUUGAGCUCAACCUACCAUACGAUUACAUGUUGUAAACCUAUAAAACAAACAACUUAAAUGAUGA
rnacentral:misc_RNA from 1 species